GUACGGGGGAGGCAAGCGUUGUUCGGAUUUACUGGGCGUAAAGGGCGCGUAGGCGGUCAGCACAAGUCAGUUGUGAAAUCUCCGGGCUUAACUCGGAAAGGUCAACUGAUACUGUGCGACUAGAGUGCGGAAGGGGCAACUGGAAUUCUCGGUGUAGCGGUGAAAUGCGUAGAUAUCGAGAGGAACACCUGCGGCGAAGGCGGGUUGCUGGGCCGACACUGACGCUGAUGCGCGAAAGCCAGGGGAGCGAACGGG
rnacentral:rRNA from 1 species